rnacentral:rRNA from 1 species
AUACGUAGGUGGCAAGCGUUGUCCGGAAUUAUUGGGCGUAAAGCGCGCGCAGGCGGUCCUUUAAGUCUGAUGUGAAAGCCCACGGCUCAACCGUGGAGGGUCAUUGGAAACUGGAGGACUUGAGUGCAGAAGAGGAAAGUGGAAUUCCAAGUGUAGCGGUGAAAUGCGUAGAGAUUUGGAGGAACACCAGUGGCGAAGGCGACUUUCUGGUCUGUACCUGACGCUGAGGCGCGAAAGCGUGGGGAGCAAACAGGAUUAGAUGCCCUGGUAGCCCACGCCGUAAACGAUGAGUGCUAAGUGUUAGGGGGUUUCCGCCCCUCAGUGCUGCAGCUAACGCAUUAAGCACUCCGCCUGGGGAGUACGGUCGCAAGACUGAAACUUAAAGGAAUUGACGGGG